GUCUACAGCCAUGCCACCCUGAACAUGCCCGAUCUUGUCUGAUCUCGGAAGCUGAGUAGGGUCAGGCUUGGUUAGUACUUGGAUGGGAGACCACCUAGAAAGACCGGGUGCUGUAGGUG
rnacentral:rRNA from 1 species